AACGAACGCUGGCGGUAUGCCUAACACAUGCAAGUCGAACGAGACCUCCGGGUCUACUGGCGCACGGGUGCGUAACGCGUGGGAACCUGCCGUUAGGCUCGGAAUAACUCUUCGAAAGGGGUGCUAAUACCGGAUAACGUCUUCUGAUCCAACAUAGAUCGUCCUAGGAUGGGCCCGCGUUGUAUUAGCCUGGCGGUAGGGUAAAAGCCUACCAGGGCGACGAUCCAUAGCUGGGCUGAGAGGAAGAGCAGCCACACUCGGGCUGAGAUGCGGCGCAGACUCUUGCGGGAGGCGGCAGUGGGGAAUAUUGGAAAAUGGGCGGAGGCCUGAAGCAGCACUGGCGCGUGAGUGAUGAAGGCGUUAGAGUAGUAAAGCUCUUUUACCCGGGAUGAUAAUGACGGUACCGGGAGAAUAAGCACCGGCUAACUCCGUG
rnacentral:rRNA from 1 species